UACGUAGGGGGCAAGCGUUGUCCGGAUUUAUUGGGCGUAAAGAGCGUGUAGGCGGCCAUGUAGGUCCGUUGUGAAAACUCGAGGCUCAACCUCGAGACGCCGAUGGAAACCAUGUGGCUAGAGUCCGGAAGAGGAGAGUGGAAUUCCUGGUGUAGCGGUGAAAUGCGCAGAUAUCAGGAAGAACACCAAUAGCGAAGGCAGCUCGCUGGGACGUUACUGACACUGAGGCGCGAAAGCGUGGGGAGCGAACAGG
rnacentral:rRNA from 1 species